GACAUUUUUAUUAAUCAUUAAAAGCCUGUUAAGCUCCAGAGUCUUUGAAAGAACAUUUUGAUAAAAUGAAGUUUCAAUCUAUAAUAGUUUUUUUUGCUGUUUUUAAUUUGGUUUUGUCGAAAUGGGUGUCAAAAAUGGAAAAUAAACACUUAUUCGAAGGAGACAUGAAGUUGGAUCCUGAAGAAAUGUCUGGAUUGAA
rnacentral:lncRNA from 1 species